rnacentral:rRNA from 1 species
AGUGAACGCUGGCGGUAGGCCUAACACAUGCAAGUCGAACGGCAGCACAGUAAGAGCUUGCUCUUACGGGUGGCGAGUGGCAGACGGGUGAGGAAUACAUCGGAAUCUACUUUUUCGUGGGGGAUAACGUAGGGAAACUUACGCUAAUACCGCAUACGACCUACGGGUGAAAGCAGGGGAUCUUCGGACCUUGCGCGAUUGAAUGAGCCGAUGUCGGAUUAGCUAGUUGGCGGGGUAAAGGCCCACCAAGGCGACGAUCCGUAGCUGGUCUGAGAGGAUGAUCAGCCACACUGGAACUGAGACACGGUCCAGACUCCUACGGGAGGCAGCAGUGGGGAAUAUUGGACAAUGGGCGCAAGCCUGAUCCAGCCAUACCGCGUGGGUGAAGAAGGCCUUCGGGUUGUAAAGCUCUUUUGUUGGGAAAGAAAAGCAGCAGGUUAAUACCCCGCUGUUCUGACGGUACCCAAAGAAUAAGCACCGGCUAACUUCGUG